rnacentral:rRNA from 2 species
CACGUAGGGGGCAAGCGUUGUCCGGAUUUAUUGGGCGUAAAGAGCUCGUAGGCGGUUCGAUAAGUCGGGUGUGAAACCUCCAGGCUCAACCUGGAGACGCCACCCGAUACUGUCGUGACUAGAGUCCAGUAGGGGAGCGUGGAAUUCCUGGUGUAGCGGUGAAAUGCGCAGAUAUCAGGAGGAACACCAGUGGCGAAGGCGGCGCUCUGGGCUGGAACUGACGCUGAGGAGCGAAAGCGUGGGGAGCGAACAGG